rnacentral:rRNA from 1 species
GACGUAGGGCGCGAGCGUUGUCCGGAUUUAUUGGGCGUAAAGAGCUCGUAGGCGGCUUGUCGCGUCGAAUGUGAAAACUUGGGGCUCAACUCCAAGCUUGCAUUCGAUACGGGCAGGCUAGAGUUCGGUAGGGGAGACUGGAAUUCCUGGUGUAGCGGUGAAAUGCGCAGAUAUCAGGAGGAACACCAAUGGCGAAGGCAGCUCGCUGGGACGGUACUGACGCUGAGGCGCGAAAGCGUGGGGAGCAAACAGG